rnacentral:rRNA from 5 species
CGGAUGCGAUCAUACCAGCACUACA